ACGCACGCUGGCGGCGUGCUUAACCCAUGCAAGUCGCACGGAAAGGCCCUGCUUUUGUGGGGUGCUCGAGUGGCGAACGGGUGAGUAACACGUGAGUAACCUGCCCUUGACUUUGGGAUAACUUCAGGAAACUGGGGCUAAUACCGGAUAGGAGCUCCUGCUGCAUGGUGGGGGUUGGAAAGUUUCGGCGGUUGGGGAUGGACUCGCGGCUUAUCAGCUUGUUGGUGGGGUAGUGGCUUACCAAGGCUUUGACGGGUAGCCGGCCUGAGAGGGUGACCGGCCACAUUGGGACUGAGAUACGGCCCUGACUCCUACGGGAGGCAGCAGCGGGGAAUAUUGCACAAUGGGCGGAAGCCUGAUGCAGCAACGCCGCGUGCGGGAUGACGGCCUUCGGGUUGUAAACCGCUUUCGCCUGUGACGAAGCGUGAGUGACGGUAAUGGGUAAAGAAGCACCGGCUAACUACGUG
rnacentral:rRNA from 1 species